GCCAAUUGUUUUCUAUAGAUUUUUCAACAAGUAGAACUCUGGUGCAUACAGGUGUUGGAAUGAAAGCUUUGCAAGGUAACUAGACUAGCAAACUGGGAAUUAUGGUAUGCUCUUGGCCAUCAGGGCUUUCAGUACAUGCACCCUAAUCUGCGAAAAAGAUUUUCCAGCUCUGCUGAAGAGCAAGUGUAACGGAGCUUGCAGCAGGAGGACCUCUGGAAGAUUGAAGUGUUGAGGAGAAAGCUGACCUGCUACCUUCAUGAAAAUAUAAUUUAAUCAUUUCCUGUUGUCUGAAAUAGCACGCUCGCAAGAAAUCAGAAUGACUGAUGUUGGCAGGGACUUCUGGAGGUCACUGGAUCCCUCUAUUCAAGCAAGGGCAUUUAGAGGAG